rnacentral:miRNA from 1 species
UGAGAAGAAGAAGAGGAAGA